UGUUUGUUUUUGGUCAAUCCUUAUAAAGGCUUUCUUUCAUUAUGGAUUGCAGCUCACAGCGUGUUUGAGACACACACGCUUGCAGGAGGUGCCGUUGGCGUGUUUUACACGUGGCUUCCCCCAGGACCGCAUUGUGUCCGUGACGCUGGACAAAGAGUAUGACGUGGCCGUGGAGGCUAUCCGCCUGGUGACCUGCUCCUGCAGGGAAGGCAGCGAAGGUGCCUUGUGAAACGAAGGCUGUGAGAAUGCGCACCACCUCGUGUGUUCUGCCCGCCGACCCGUAGCAGUCGCCGCAGGGGAGUUCCUCCAUCACUUGACAUACUGAAUUUCGUAAUGAAGACAUCAACUCAGGCGGCGUCGUACUUGAAGGCCGUUCAGCCUCGCGACCCCCAGGUGGAGGAGGCGCUAUCCAAGCGGAGGGGCAGAAGCAGCUCCAAUGGAAACCUCCUCCGAGUGCUGCUGCUCUUUUUCCUGGAAAGUGAGGUCCUCGCUGCCGAAGAAAGGAGGACCCAGACCGAUGAGCACAAAAGCUGACGGAACACUUCAUCGUGGCUCUCCCUGUGCUGCUUUCCAAGAUGUGUGCUCGGUCCUUCAAGUCUGCGAAGCCACUUCUCUUUGUUCCUCUGGCCAACCUUCCGCACAUUCCCCGGCACUUUGACCUGGAUGGAGGUGUGCAGUGCAGCGAGGAUGGAGAAGCACCUGCGGCACGCCCUGCCGAAACAGACCCGGUUUGUGGUGGAGAAGCACACGACACGGAGGCGUUGGAAGCCUGCAGUAAGACAUGCAGCAUCCGGCGCAACGAGGACUACGCCAUCGUGAACCGUGCGGGCGUGGCACGGGGACGGCUGCUAGACGAACUUGUGGAACGCUUUGGCCACUCUGCAGGAAGUGCGUGGGCCACGGGCCGCGUGUCGGGCAGCUUUAAAAGGUGUCGGUUUAAAAGACAAAGGCGGCCUCAGUUACCUCUGAAACACGUGUCUUGUCCUGUGUGCGGGAUGAAGAGGCGGAAGACGAUGACAUUUACAGCUCUCAAGAGGCUCGGGGCCGUUCUGCAGGUGAGUGCCGCUAGACGGGAAGGGCUCUGCGAAGGGGUUCCCGCUUUGGGGAGACGGGGCUCCUCACCGCGAACUCUGCGUAUGUUUCGCCACACGCUCUUAACACAUGCGGUCGCGCUUGUUUUCGGGCCGUAGGAUGUUGUGCUGUG